GAUGAACGCUAGCGAUAGGCUUAACACAUGCAAGUCGAGGGGCAGCAUGGUCUUAGCUUGCUAAGACUGAUGGCGACCGGCGCACGGGUGCGUAACGCGUAUGCAACUUGCCUCACAGAGGGGGAUAACCCGUCGAAAGACGGACUAAUACCGCGUACACUCCAUCUUGGGCAUCCAAGGUAGAGGAAAUGAAAUUCGCUGUGAGAUAGGCAUGCGUCCCAUUAGCUAGUUGGUGAGGUAACGGCUCACCAAGGCGACGAUGGGUAGGGGAACUGAGAGGUUGAACCCCCACCCUGGUACUGGGACACGGACCAUACGACUACGGGAGGCAGCAGUGAGGAAUAUUAGUCAAUGGGCGAGAGCCUUAACCAGCCAAGUCGCGUGAAGGAUGACUGUCUUAUGGAUUGUAAACUUCUUUUAUACGUGAAUAACACGAGUACCGUGUGACUCCCUGCAUGUACCGUAUGAAUAAGCAUCGGCUAACUCCGUG
rnacentral:rRNA from 1 species